rnacentral:rRNA from 1 species
UAUCUCUGUAGAGUCUGCAUAUCAAUAAGCGGAGGAAAAGAAACUAACAAGGAUUCCCUUAGUAACGGCGAGUGAAGCGGGAAGAGCUCAAAUUUGAAAUCUUCAAGGUUCUACCUUGACGAAUUGUAGUUUAAAGAAGUGUUUUCUGUUGGAGUUUUGGUAAAAGUUCUUUGGAAUAGGACAUCAUAGAGGGUGAGAAUCCCGUAUUUGACCAUUAUUUCCAGCUUUGUGAUACACUUUCAAAGAGUCGGAUUGUUUGGGAAUGCAGUCCAAAAUGGGUGGUAAAUUUCAUCUAAAGCUAAAUACUGGCGAGAGACCGAUAGCGAACAAGUACCGUGAGGGAAAGAUGAAAAGAACUUUGAAAAGAGAGUUAAACAGUACGUGAAAUUGUCAAAAGGGAAGCGUUUGACACCAGUGUUGUUUUCUCGAAAAUCAAUUAAAAAAGGCAGGAUUUUGUGUUGUAUUGACCUUAAAAGCUUUCUUCACUUUUUUCAUGUCUUUUUUAAUGCACUUUUCGUUUAACAAGUCAACAUCAGUUUCUUUUGUUGUAAAAAGGUCAUUGGAAGGUGGCUUUCUUUUCGGAGAAAGUGUUUAUAGCCUUUGACUUCUGCAAUCGGAGAGACUGAGGUCUGCAGCGUAGAUCCUUCUGGAUUAGAUUCAUUUGUGCUAAGUUACAACCGUUUAUAGACAACUUGUUGACUAUAUUCGAUCCUGUAGCUUACUCGCUUAUGUAAUUUUACCUACGCUUAGGAUGUUGAAGAUGUAGCACAUCAU